rnacentral:rRNA from 1 species
CCUUCCUACGGGGCGCAGCAGUGAGGAAUAUUGGUCAAUGGGCUUACGCCUGAACCAGCCAAGUCGCGUGAGGGAAGACUGCCCUAUGGGUUGUAAACCUCUUUUGUCAGGGAGCAAUGGCGUCCACGUGUGGGCGUAUGGAGAGUACCUGAAGAAAAAGCAUCGGCUAACUCCGUGCCAGCAGCCGCGGUAAUACGGAGGAUGCGAGCGUUAUCCGGAUUUAUUGGGUUUAAAGGGUGCGUAGGCGGUACCUUA